CCGCAUUCCUUUAAAAGCUUGUUGGCUGUAAGAUAUGUUUGAUAUUCUUGGUUGUUCUAUGGUCAGACCACAACCAGAUAUCAGACAUAUUAUUACAGCUGUGAGCCUCGACAUCAACUCUUGUG
rnacentral:pre_miRNA from 11 species